ACCAGGGUAGCCUAGUGGACAUGGCAUCUGCCCGGUAAGCGGAACACUGUGGGUUCGAUUCCCAUCCCUGGAC